rnacentral:rRNA from 1 species
GCACCAGACUCCUACGGGAGGCAGCAGUGGGGAAUAUUGCACAAUGGGGGAAACCCUGAUGCAGCAACGCCGCGUGAAGGAAGACGGUUUUCGGAUUGUAAACUUCUGUUCUUAGUGAAGAAGAAUGACGGUAGCUAAGGAGCAAGCCACGGCUAACUACGUGCCAGCAGCCGCGGUAAUACGUAGGUGGCAAGCGUUGUCCGGAAUUACUGGGUGUAAAGGGAGCGCAGGCGGGAAGCCAAGUCAGCUGUGAAAACUACGGGCUUAACUUGUAGACUGCAGUUGAAACUGGUUUUCUUGAGUGAAGUAGAGGUUGGCGGAAUUCCGAGUGUAGCGGUGAAAUGCAUAGAUAUCACGCAGAACUCCGAUUGCGAAGGCAGCGUACCGGCGCCCAACUGACGCUCAUGCACGAAAGCGUGGGUAUCGAACAGGAUUAGAUACCCUCGUAGCG